UUUCAUUUGUAACAUUUUUUCUUUUUUUUACUGUCAACUUCAGUUCAUCAGUGUACCUUACAAAAAUAUUACAAAUAAAUGCAAUAAUAAAAACAAUCAUUUAGUGCAUUCACACUGAUUCAAUACUAGCCCAUGUUGGAGAAACAAGAAGGAUUGAGAUGAAAUGAAGGUUUGCAGCAGCUGAGAUCUCGAACAUGCAUGAACAUUGCACUACUCGUAUAAACUUCUUGUUUUUUAUAUGUACAAUAAGCAGAAUAAUCGAAACAAAAAUAAAAAGAAGUUGAGACCAUGUUAGUAAGCCUGGAGCUCGCAGCGUCAGAAUGCCAGUCGAGUCCAAAGCGAGACUGACCCGAACUCGCUGAACACUGGAACACACACGUCUGCGAGAUCAGAAGCACUCUGAUUGGGUUACAUGGAGAGGGGGCCGAGUUUGAGCUAUACUGGGACCAGCCACCAGGGGGCGGUCCAGUGUCUUCUUUUCCUUUCAAUGGCGUUUGGCAAACACUUAAGCUGCACAGCGCCACCUAGUGCUGCUCACGAUAACCAGCGUACGGUCGCCAGAAACAUGUUUAAUCUCCCGAUGCGGAUCCUAGAGAUCGAUCAGGACAUUCCUGAUCACACGAGUAUGGAAAACAUCGAGGAAUAUAGUGACGAUCAGCAGUGCUGGUGGGAUUUGCAUAUUUCAUUGAUGAACUCACUCACUGGUCGACUCAGAUUUAGACAAACGGUCACAGUAUUUCGCUCUGAAGAUCUGAACAUCACACACACACACACACACACACACACACACGCACCAAUAUUACAAAUCAAUACGAGGCUCAUAUACACUUCCUGCAUUAUUAUUACUGUACACAAACAUGCCGUUUAAAGACAUUUCAGUCUAAUCAUCUGUUCCCCAUGAACA